rnacentral:lncRNA from 1 species
AUGAGAGGCAGCAUGUGCCUAUGGCAUCUUGUGUCUACGGCAUCUUGUGCCUACGGCAUCUUAUGCCCUCUUCAGCGGUCUUCUAAGGGUCUGGUUAGUUAGCCCUCAGAAAGGCAUCAUGUAUCUGCAGCAUCUUGUGCCUAUGGCAUCUUGUGCUCUUCUCGUCUUUAUACAAGAGACAGCAUGUGCCUGUAGCAUCUUGUGCCAUCCUCGACGGCCUCCUGAGGGUCUGAUUAGUUAGCCCUCAGGAGAGGCAUUGUGUUUGCGGUAUCUUGUGCCUAUGGCAUUUUGUGCUCUUAUCAUCUUCGCACGAGAGGCAGCAUGUACCCGCG